GGAACUCAGUAGCCUCUUUCAGGAAAGUUAAACCUGGAUGAGUCUCGACCACGUCUUGCACCAGUGGGAUUAAAUCCUCGGGGAGUAUAUUGUUCCUGAGGCCUCGGGUUGUGAUUCUGAUAAACUUGCUCGCUGCGUCGUGAAGUCAAGGAAGGCGUUCAUCUCGACGUAUCCGAUCUGGUCGCCUCCAGCCGCGAGAAAGAGUGGCACCUUCCAGUAAAGGGCCAGCCUAUUCGUUCCACGGCGGAGUGGUUCGAGGUCGAAUCAAUGGAGGGCAAGCGACAGAGGACAAACGGAGGAAAUUGUGUUCGUGGAAGUUUUAACGAGCCUCGUUGUACCAUUACCUUGGUGAUCGCGUGAAA